UAUGUGAUCGUCUCUCGCAUAUCAAUAAGCGGAGGAAAAGAAACUAACAAGGAUUCCCCUAGUAACGGCGAGUGAAGCGGGAAGAGCUCAAAUUUGAAAUCUUAAAGGGUUUCCCUUUACGAAUUGUAGUUUAAAGAAGUGUUUUCUGUUGAGGUUUUGGUAAAAGUUCUUUGGAAUAGGACAUCAUAGAGGGUGAGAAUCCCGUAUUUGACCCUUACUUUCAACUUUGUGAUACACUUUCAAAGAGUCGGAUUGUUUGGGAAUGCAGUCCAAAAUGGGUGGUAAAUUUCAUCUAAAGCUAAAUAUUGGCGAGAGACCGAUAGCGAACAAGUACCGUGAGGGAAAGAUGAAAAGAACUUUGAAAAGAGAGUUAAACAGUACGUGAAAUUGUCAAAAGGGAAGCGUUUGACACCAGUGUUGUUUUUUCUGAAAAUCAAUUAAAGAACUGUUUAUGCUAAGUUGUUUAGACUUUAUCAGCUAUCUGCUUUAGUUUUGAGCUUUUCUUUAAUGCACUUUUCAGUUAACAAGGUCAACAUCAAUUUCUUUUGCUGUAAAAAAGCUUGAGGAAGGUGGCUUGAGAUUCGUCUUAAGUGUUUAUAGCCUCUUGCCUAUGCAGUCGGAGAGAUUGAGGUCUGCAGCGUAGAUCCUUCGGGGCUAAAUGCAUUUGUGCUAAGUUAUAGCAUUUUAUAGACAACUUGUUGACUAUGAUUUGUCUUGUAGCUUACUCGCUUAUGUUAUUUUACCUACGCUUAGGAUGUUGAAGAUAUGCGCGACACG
rnacentral:rRNA from 1 species